rnacentral:rRNA from 1 species
CGAUGAACCACAUUCGGUGGGGAUUAGUGGCGAACGGGUGAGUAACACGUGGGCAAUCUGCCCUGCACUCUGGGACAAGCCCUGGAAACGGGGUCUAAUACCGGAUACUGACCCUCACGGGCAUCUGUGAGGUUCGAAAGCUCCGGCGGUGCAGGAUGAGCCCGCGGCCUAUCAGCUUGUUGGUGAGGUAAUGGCUCACCAAGGCGACGACGGGUAGCCGGCCUGAGAGGGCGACCGGCCACACUGGGACUGAGACACGGCCCAGACUCCUACGGGAGGCAGCAGUGGGGAAUAUUGCACAAUGGGCGAAAGCCUGAUGCAGCGACGCCGCGUGAGGGAUGACGGCCUUCGGGUUGUAAACCUCUUUCAGCAGGGAAGAAGCGAAAGUGACGGUACCUGCAGAAGAAGCGCCGGCUAACUACGUGCCAGCAGCCGCGGUAAUACGUAGGGCGCGAGCGUUGUCCGGAAUUAUUGGGCGUAAAGAGCUCGUAGGCGGCUUGUCGCGUCGGUUGUGAAAGCCCGGGGCUUAACCCCGGGUCUGCAGUCGAUACGGGCAGGCUAGAGUUCGGUAGGGGAGAUCGGAAUUCCUGGUGUAGCGGUGAAAUGCGCAGAUAUCAGGAGGAACACCGGUGGCGAAGGCGGAUCUCUGGGCCGAUACUGACGCUGAGGAGCGAAAGCGUGGGGAGCGAACAGGAUUAGAUACCCUGGUAGUCCACGCCGUAAACGGUGGGCACUAGGUGUGGGCAACAUUCCACGUUGUCCGUGCCGCAGCUAACGCAUUAAGUGCCCCGCCUGGGGAGUAC